AGAGUUUGAUCAUGGCUCAGAUUGAACGCUGGCGGCGUGCUUAACACAUGCAAGUCGAGCGGUAACAGGUGUAGCAAUACAUGCUGACGAGCGGCGAACGGGUGAGUAAUGCUUCGGAAUCUACCCAUUGGCGGGGAAUAACUAGCCGAAAGGUUAGCUAAUACCGCAUAAGCCCUACGGGGGAAAGCAGGGGAUCGUAAGACCUUGCACCGAUGGAUGAGCCGAAGUCGGAUUAGCUAGUUGGUAGGGUAACGGCCUACCAAGGCGACGAUCCGUAGCUGGUCUGAGAGGACGACCAGCCACACUGGGACUGAGACACGGCCCAGACUCCUACGGGAGGCAGCAGUGGGGAAUAUUGGACAAUGGGGGCAACCCUGAUCCAGCGACGCCGCGUGUGUGAAGAAGGCCUGCGGGUUGUAAAGCACUUUUAGUGGGGAUGAAAUGUUCAGGGUUAAUACCCCUGGAUCUUGACCUAACCCAAAGAAAAAGCACCGGCUAACUCUGUGCCAGCAGCCGCGGUAAUACAGAGGGUGCAAGCGUUAAUCGGAAUUACUGGGCGUAAAGCGUGCGUAGACGGUUAUCUAAGUCGGGUGUGAAAGCCCCGGGCUCAACCUGGGAAUUGCAUUCGAGACUGAAUAGCUAGGGUACGGAAGAGGGAAGCGGAAUUUCAGGUGUAGCGGUGAAAUGCGUAGAUAUCUGAAGGAACACCAGUGGCGAAAGCGGCUUCCUGGUCCAGUACCGACGUUCAGGCACGAAAGCGUGGGGAGCAAACAGGAUUAGAUACCCUAGUAGUCC
rnacentral:rRNA from 1 species